rnacentral:rRNA from 1 species
AAGCCGUGCAGGUGUAGACCGUAGGGAAACCGAGGUCUGAAUAGGGCGAUUAGUAUGAUGUCAUAGACCCGAAACGGGAUGAGCUAACCAUGAACAGGUUGAAGCGGGGGGUAAUACCGUCGUGGAGGACCGAACUCAUGACGGUUGAAAACGUCUGGGAUGAUUUGGUGGUUAGGGGGUGAAAAGGCCAAUCAAAUUCCGUGAUAGCUGGUUCUCUCCGAAAUGCAUUUAGGUGCAGCGUUCGACGAAUACCAACGGGGGUAUAGCACUGACUUGGCUAGGGGGCUUACCAGCUUACCAAACCAUAUCAAACUCACAAUACCGUUGAGUAAUAUCGAGCAGUGACACAGCGGAUGCUAAGGUCCGUUGUGAAAAGGGGAAAGAGCCCAGACCAUCAGCUAAGGUCCCAAAAUCGUCGCUAAGUGGUGAAGGUUGUGGAAUUACUUUGACAUCCAGGAGGUUGGCUUAGAAGCAGCCAUCCUUUAAAGAAAGCGUAAUAGCUCACUGGACUAGUGAUUCUGCGCCGAAAAUGUAACGGGGCA